GAUAUUUAAUAAUGACACUAUUUUGAGUGAAUCUUCAGAUGAAUUUACAUUAAAUGGCACUUUACAUUUAACCAAUUUAAGCAGAAAAAACACAGGGACUUACCGAUGUAACGUUCACAACACAGUAGGGAUGGGGAAUGCUGAAGUACACGUACUUGUAACAUAUAAGCCAGAACUUGCUUCAAAUGCUCCUUUUAUUUUUGAUACUGAAAUUGGAAACCCAGCAUAUAUUUCAAUUCCCAUAAGAAGUUUUGAAAAACCUACUGCUUCAUGGACUCUGUCAAGUGAAGAAAGUCUUCAAGUUGGUUUAUUGAAUGUAAAAACAACACAAAAUGACAUGUUUCUCAUUGAGGGGAAGAUAGUUCCAAGUACCAAUCAUUAUUUUAAAAAAUAUGGAAUAAGUGUAAGAAACAGAGUUGGAAGUAUUCAUGCAGAUGUAACGCUUACUUAUACAGACACACGGGUAUUGGCAUCAUCAAGGCGAUACAACUGCAGCACAGGGAAUUCAACAUAUAUUAAUUGCUUUGUCAAUACGAAUUUAUACACAGAAUGGUCUUGUGUUUGGAAGCACUUUUACAAUGAUGAAUUCAUUAGGUCUUUGCCAUGCAUUGUUAAAGACGGCGUCUCUCGCUUACGUUUCGAAUUUUGUAACUACAUGAACACUGGCAUUUAUAAAUGUAUUUUGGAAACACCAACAUAGAACUUUUCUUCUAAUGCUGAACUGUCUGUUAAAGGGCCACCCAUAGUAUUGACAAGCGUAGUUGAAAGACAUAGCAAUAACAUUGUGAUAUCAACGUACUUUGUAUCAUAUUCUCCAGCUAAGAGUAUAUCUUGGUUUUUCAAUAACGGAAAAAAAGAAAGUCAAAUUGAAUCAAACUCUACGAUAUGUCAAAUCUUAUCAUCUAAGUCAGCUGCUGAUAUCGCAAUUUACGGUAAAAAAGUACAUAUAGAUUGUAUAAGAACAGAUCU